GAUGAACGCUAGCGGCAGGCCUAAUACAUGCAAGUCGAGGGGUAUGGGUUGCUUGCAACCCAGAGACCGGCGCACGGGUGCGUAACGCGUAUGCAAUCUACCUUAAUCAGGGGGAUAGCCCGGAGAAAUCCGGAUUAACACCGCAUAACAUUGAGUUGUGGCAUCACAGUUCAAUCAAAUAUUUAUAGGAUUAAGAUGAGCAUGCGUGACAUUAGUUAGUUGGUGAGGUAACGGCUCACCAAGACCACGAUGUCUAGGGGGUCUGAGAGGAUGACCCCCCACACUGGUACUGAGACACGGACCAGACUCCUACGGGAGGCAGCAGUAAGGAAUAUUGGUCAAUGGGCGCAAGCCUGAACCAGCCAUGCCGCGUGCAGGAAGACGGCCCUAUGGGUUGUAAACUGCUUUUGUACCGGAAUAAACCUUCUCUUGCGAGAGAAGCUGAACGUACGGUAAGAAUAAGGAUCGGCUAACUCCGUG
rnacentral:rRNA from 1 species